GAUGAAGUGCCAGAGUGGUUUGUGUGUGUGUUUGUUGUUCAGCAGGUCAUGGGUUUGAAACCCCUCUUGACCC
rnacentral:tRNA from 1 species